ACCAAUUCACUGAGGACUUGCUUGGGAGACACUGAAAGCCUGGCUGCUGAUUUGGUUUUCUCUCCCUGGCACCAACUCCAGAGUGCUGGAGAGAAUUCGCCCCAGUUCUGGUGAUUGAUUUUGGAGAAAACACAGAAAUGGGGGCUCAGGCUGAUAACAUCACAGAAGAACUCCAUAACCUUUCAGAGAGCCUGGGACUGGCUUGGUGGAUUGCUCCAACGAGGCUGUAACUGGUCCCUCCUCUGAGCUCCGGCCCCUCUCCCCUGACCCAGGAGGCCUGAAGUAAAAAUGGGGAGUGAGAAAAGGGAAUCCCUCCACGGUGUCCGUCCACAGUACAACAGGGUCAUCUUGCCAAGAAAGCUGAUCAUUGCCUUGGAAAUGGCCAAACAAGCCUGGCCAUCAGACUCAUGAGAAGUAAGAGAGUAAGAAGGCACCUGGCAUCCCCAUGAUAAAUUCCUGUGGGGGAAAGGAUGAACCUGGGCCAUGCAAGGAGCACACCAAGGAGCCGUAAAGAGGCAAAUUUGUGCUUGACAUCAAGAACUCCUCAACAAUUAGAGUUGCUGCUUCCAGAGGCGGUGGGUUUCCCCUGCCCUCAGAGGGCUUCAAGCAGAGGCCGGACAACCACUGGCCCAGUGUGAUACAGUGGUGGGGUCCUUCCAUGUAUGGGCUGGAGUAGAUGGCCACUGAGAUCUCUUCCAAUUCUCAUAUUUCAAGAUAAUCAAUAUCAUUGUUGGCAACUUGAUGCUUACUGCAAGUAGCUCCUGAUUCUUUUUGUCAAAGAAAGUUUUUGUAAUUUUGUUGGACAGGAUAGGUUGCUUUCAGGAUUCUGCAUAUUUUAUAGGCCUUCAAUCUCUUGUUUCUCAUUCCUAAACCAUAUUUUCCAACAUAUUUUUCACCAUCCUCCCUUAUGCUCACCUUAUGAUGAUUUUAUUAGGAGGGCCUAGGGCAUCUAGGUGAUGCAAUGGAUAGAGCUCUAGGCCUGG